UCGCCACACUAACUUCAGAAAUUUAUAUAUCUAAACAAAAGGUUUAACUAACAUGCUACUAAGCAUAAGAACUACGUUUGUACCAAAAAAAAAAGCAUAAGAACUACGUACUAUAAAUUUAAUGAAACGGAGAAAAGAGCUAUCAUGAGAAUAACGACUAAACAUUUUGGAUAUGUAAAUAUCAAUAUUAAAUUUAUGUCUAUAACCUACUUCAAAAACUACCGUGAAAUUACUUGUACUUGAAUUGUAACAAAUUAUGGAAAAAAUUCAAAGAAUACGAAAAUAAUCCACAAGUCCUAUUUCACUAAAAUAAAUGUGUGGAAGUUUUGGUUGAAUUUCUGAUAUUUGAAGAGCUUCUUGGCCCCUUCUCCUCUUUUAAACAUAACUCUUAGUCGAUUCUUUUGUCAAAUACUGAUCAAAAUCAUUCUUCGUCGAGCAAAACCAUUCUUUCUUGAUCGGAGAUUGGCUCGCACAAUAAAGAUCUAAAAAAAUUAGCAAUAUGAAGAAUAUUUUUAUGAAUUUGAGUUUUGAAUAGUGUUCUUGCAAAUUUCUGAUUUUCAAAAUAUAUAUAUACACAAUUAAAUACUACUCACUCUUAAUUUAAAAAAAUGGACAAUUAAAUAUUACUAUUUAAUACAAUAAAUCACUAUUAGGCCAAGACAAAAUAAAACGGUAGAAGGUGAUAACUAAGCACAUAAAUGUUUUAAUUGGAUUUGGGAGAAAGGACAAAAGACAUGUCAUAAUUGGGUUGUUACAAACAAGAAGGCAAAGGGUUGUUAUAACUUAUGAUGUACCACUUUAAUGUGGUAAUUACUUUCAAUUAGAUGGUAAAAAUAAUUGUUUUAUUUGAUAGGAAAAACAUAAAAAAAAAAUAUUUAAAAAAAGAAGAAAAUAGAUAAAUAGAUUUCUUGGCCUUAGAGAGCGCCACAUCAGCAUGUUUGAUAUCCAGCUUUAUAUAUAUAGAUUCUAUAUUAUAGUCCUAGAAUACAUUGUAAUACUUCGUAUAAAUGAUCAUAUUAGACUUUUUAUAAUUUUAAGUUUUUGGUACAUACUUAUUAGAUUCAGUAUAGGAAUAAAAUAGCAAUUCAACUUUGCACUUUAAAAUUUCCAAGCAUUAUUGAAAUUUUGCUCUUGUGAGUAGAAGAUUAAUUAAAACAAGCAGAGAGAUCUAGAGAAAAAUGGAAAAGUUAUAAUGAUGUUGAAUUAAACCUUGAACAGAAGAAGAUGAAGAGUUGAAUGUUGUCCUUCCUCUAUUGUUGUCUUCCACUUGCUUUCAUUCUCAACUUUUAUAUAUUUUAGUUCAUAAUUACUUGAAUACAUCCUCUUUUAUAUAGU
rnacentral:lncRNA from 1 species